AUAUGUCGCUUAUGAUUCAUAACAUCUGCAAAUUUGUACUAAAGCCUUUCCAAUGAAAAUAAUUUUACGGACGGUGGUCACCAGAACAUGAGAAACUUUGCUAAAGGGUCGCAGCAUAAGGAGGGUUGAAAGCCACUGUCUUUGGUACAUCAUGCAGUAGGUGCUUGAAUACAGUGGAAUGCUCUCUGGGAAUUGAAAAUGUAAGGCCUAUGUCCUCAUCAAGAUCUCUGUACUGGGAGGGUUGGGACUACAAUGAUGGUUGAAUAUCUUGGUUACUCAGGAGGCAUUGGAUUUGCAUAGUCUUCUCGGUCAUAGACAGACAUCUCUAGAGGUUGUGGUUGCCAUGGGUGAGGCCAAGGCUUCAGACAACAUCUAAAGAUGGUCUGACUGGGAUCCAUAGGAUCCCAGGUAAUUCUAAAUGAGUCAAAUUUGUGGAUGAGAACCAAAAUGCCCCAACUAAGUGGUCAAGUUCAAAAAACUGUGCAACACCAGUCGGCCACCUAGUGUCAGAAAGGGAAAUGGAGGACUAAAACAUGUCUGUUCCUUUUUUGGGUUGGGGAUUGUUUUGUGGGUACACAAACAGCCUACUGAGGGGAGAAUUCAUGAGCAUGAGAGGAACCAGGUUCAAAUCUGGCUUGGCUGAUGCACAUGUUGUGAGACUGGCCUACAGAACCUGGGUCCUCAGCUCUGAUUUGUAUUCUGCCAUGUUUAUGACUAGAGUUCUCCCCUUGCUCUUCAAGUACACAAGGUGUGCAUAACCAUCUAGACUGUGGGAAUGGGAACUUGGCCUCUGAAGGCAGUACUUGGGUACUCACCUUGCUGGAAUGAAUCUCAGGGUCAGGGUAAUCUGUGAGAUAUGAAACAAUGGGAGUAUAUGAGGAAAUGUGGACAUACGGAACUCACUGCUCAUAGCCUGAAUGUCUGGUGAACUGUGCCAGCUAGGCCUAAGACCAUGAGCCAGUGUAGGAAGUUAUGUAUCCAGAAAACUCCAAGGCUGAGUUGGAAUGAAGUCUGUGUGACACCAGCCUUUCCUUAAAAUCCCCACAUUGUAUGUUGACUGUGGCAUAUGAGGCCGUUACAGACAGGAUUUUGUAUAGUCUUUUUGAAGACAUAAGCAUGUGUGAUAUACUCACCAUGUAACAAAACCAAAGCAGGGACGAGAAUCCUUGAAAUGUUGCUAUAUAGACUACAAGAUUCUAGCUUGGCCUAGGAGUUUAGUCUAGUGGAGGACUCGAGGAGAUAUUGGUCCCUCUCAGUACUCUGAUGGAAUGUAGAAAAAAAUCUACAUGGAGAAUGUGUAACAGAGACUGAGAAAUCAUGGGAUCUGGACACACACCUGGCUCAGUGCUGUGAAAUCCUACAGAGCCCUUUUAUGGCAGUUGUUGUCAAACAGUGGGAACUAACCCCCGCAAAGACCAUCAGCAGCAGAGAUAUGUCUGGUACAAUACAUAGCACCAGAAAAAUUUCAGUUAGCAUAUGACUACUCAGAUUCAUAACAACCACAAAAUUGUAGUUAAGAUGUCUCAUUGAAAAUAAUUUUAUGGCCUUUGGUCUCCAGAACAUGAGAAACUUUGAUAAAGGGUCGCAGCAAGAGGAGGGUUGGAACCCACAGUCCUUAGUUCUUAAUGAAGUAGGUGGUCUGUUUCAAAAUUAAACUGUGCAACACCAGUGGACCACCUAGUGCCGGAUGGGUAUGUGGGGGGUGAAAAUGUGUCUGUGCAUGUUUUGGGAUUCAGGAUUAGUUGUGAAUCUCUGCACAGCCUGUUUAUGGAAAAUACAUGAGCAUGAGAGGAACCAGGUUAAAACUGGCUAGGCUGAUGCAUAUGUUGUGAGAACAAGGAAAGGCCCUGCCCUGUGCUGGUGGCCUGCAAACAUAUGUCCUGGUCUCCUUUAUAUUGGACUGGCCUACAGAACCUGGGUCCUCAGCUGUGUUUUGUGUUGUGUUCAUGGGAACACAUGUUAGUUACUGGAAAUCUCCCUUUGCUGGUAUACUGCACAAAUUUUGCGUAGCCAUCUAGACUGGGAAAAUGGAAAUGUGGCCUAGGAAGGCAGUCUGAGAUGAAGUGUAUCUCAGGAUAAGCGUGAUCUCUGAGAAACGGGAGGGAUUAUAUGAGGAGAUGUGAACACAUGGAUCUCAGUGCUCAUGGGCUGAGUGCCUGAUGAACUGUGCCAUCCAGGCCUAAGAGCGUGAGCCAGUGUAGGAAGUUGUGUAUCUAGCAAACUCCUAGACUGAGCUGGUAUGAGGACUGUGUGACAUCAGGCUUUCCUUGAAAUCCCCACAUUGAAGGGUAACUGUGGCACAUAAGGCGAUUAGAGGACCGAUUUUUACAAAGUCCAUUUGAAGCCAAAAACAUGUGUGGUAUACUGACCCUGUAAAAAACCAAACCAGCGACGAGAAUAGUCAAAAUGCUAGAAUAUAGUCUCCAUGAUUCCAGCUUGGCCUAGGACUUUACGCUAUUUGGGAGUCGAGGCGAUAUUGGUCCCACUCAGUACUCUGAUGGUACGUAGAAAAAAACUACCUGGAGUAUGUGUAACAGAGACUGAGAAAUCAUGGGAUCUAGACACUCACCUGGCUCGGUGCUCUGAAAUCAUACUGAGCUUUUUUAUGGCAGUUGUUGUCAACCAGGAAGAAUCAACCCUCCCAAUGACAAUCUUCAGCAAAGACAUGUCUGUGACAAUUCAUAGCACCAACAAAAUUGCAGUUAGGAUAUGUCUGUUAUGAUUCAUACCAUCUGCAAAGUUUCACUACGGCCUUUCCAAUGAAAAUAGUUUUAGGGCGGGUGGUUACCAUAAAAUGAGAAACUUUGCUAAAGGGUCGCAACAGAAGAAGGGUUUAAACCCACUGUCUUUGGUUCUUUAUGAAGUAGGUGGAUUACAGACUGGAACGCUUUCUAUGAAUAAAAGUGUAAGCCCGAUGCCUUCAUCAAGGUCUCUGGCCUAGGAGACUAGGGACUACGGUGGUGGUUGAAUAUCUUUGUCACUCAGGAGGUUUUGGUGUUGCACAGACUUCUAUAUCAUAGUCAGGCAUCCCUAGAGGAUGUGGAUGCUAUGGGUGAGAGCAAAUCUUCAGACAACCUCUGAGGAUUGUCUGACCAUGAAACAAAGGAAACCAGCUGAUUCUAAAUUGUCAAAUUUAGUGACAGUGGGGCCAUAAAUGCCUAAAUACAGUGGUCUGUUUCAAAAUUAAACUGUGCAACACCAGUGGACCACCUAGUGCCGGAUGGGUAUGUGGGGGUUAAAAUGUGUCUGUGCCUGUUUGGGGAUUCGGUAGGAAUUUUGGGUCCCCUAACAGCCUGUAGAGGGGAGAAUGCAUGAGCAUGAGAGAAACCAGGUUUAAAACUGGCCUGCAUGAGCACAUGAUGUGAGACCAGAGAAAGGCUCCGCCCUGUGCUGGUGGCCUGCAAACAUAUGUCCUGGUCUCAUUAUAUUGGACUGGCCUACAGAACCUGGGUCUUCAGCUGUGUUUUGUGUUGUGUUCAUGGGAACACAUGUUAAUUACUGGAAAUCUCCCUUUGCUGGUCUACUGCACAAAUUUUGCAUAGCCAUCUAGCAUGGGAGAAUGGAAAUGUGGCCUAGGAAGGCAGUCUGAGAUGAAGUGUAUCUCAGGAUAAGCGUGAUCUGUGAGAAACGGGAGGGAUUAUAUGAGGAGAUGUGAACACAUGGAUCUCACUGCUCAUGGGCUGAGUGCCUGAUGAACUGUGCCAUCCAGGCCUUAGAGCGUGAGCCAGUGUAGGAAGUUGUGUAUCUAGCAAACUCCUAGACUGAGCUGGUAUGAGGACUGUGUGACAUCAGGCUUUCCUUGAAAUCCCCACAUUGUAGGGUAACUGUGGCCCAUAAGGCCAUUACAGGAUUGAAUUUUAGAAAGUCCUUUGAAGCCACCAACACGUGUGGUAUACUGACCCUGUAAAAAACCAAAGCAGGGACAAGAAUAAUCAAAAUGCUAGAACAUAGUCUCCAUGAUUCCAGCUUGGCCUAGGACUUUAUGCUAUUGGGGAGCCGAGGCGAUAUUGGUCCCACUCAGUACUCUGAUGGUAUGUAGAAAAAAUCUACCUGGAGUAUGUGUAACAGAGACUGAGAAAUCAUGGGAUCUAGACACUCACCUGGCUCCGUGCUAUGAAAUCAUACUGAGUUUUUUAUGGCUGUUGUUGUCAAACAGGGGGAAUCAACCCUCCCAAUGACAAUCUUCAGCAAAGACAUGUCUGUGACAAUUCAUAGCACCAACAAAAUUGCAGUUAGGAUAUGUCUGUUAUGAUUCAUACCAUCUGCAAAAUUUCACUACGGCCUUUCCAAUGAAAAUAGUUUUAGGGCUGGUGUUCAUCAGAACAUGAGAAACUUUGCUAAGGGUCGCAAAAGAAAGAGGGUUUAAACCCACUGUCUUUGGUUCUUUAUGAAUUAGGUGGAUUACAGACUGGAACGCUUUCUAUGAAUAAAAGUGUAACCCGAUGCCUUCAUCAAGGUAUCUGUCCUGGGAGAGUGGGGACUACGGUGGUGGUUGAAUAUCUUGGUCUCUCAGGAAGUUUUGGUGUUGCACAGACUUCUGUAUCAUAGUCAGGCAUCCCUAGAGGAUGUGGAUGCUAUGGGUGAGGGCAAAUCUUCAGACAACCUCUGAGGAUUGUCUGACUGUGAAACAAAGGAAACCAGCUGAUUCCACAUGGUCAAAUUUAGUGACAGUGGGGCCAUAAAUGCCUAAAUACAGUGGUCUGUUUCAAAAUUAAACUGUGCAACACCAGUGGACCACCUAGUGCCGGAUGGGCAUGUGGGGGGUGAAAAUGUGUCUGUGCCUGUUUGGGUAUCGGGGAGGAACUGUGGGUCCCCUAACAGCCUGUAGAGGGGAGAAUGCAUGAGCAUGAGAGGAACCAGGUUUAAAACUGGCCUGCAUGAGCACAUGAUGUGAGACCAGAGAAAGGCUCUGCCCUGUGCUGGUGGCCUGCAAACAUAUGUCCUGGUCUCAUUAUAUUGGACUGGCCUACAGAACCUGGGUCCUCAGCUGUGUUUUGUGUUGUGUUCAUGGGAACACAUGUUAGUUACUGGAAAUCUCCCUUUGCUGGUCUACUGCACAAAUUUUGCAUAGCCAUCUAGCAUGGGAGAAUGGAAAUGUGGCCUAGGAAGGCAGUCUGAGAUGAAGUGUAUCUCAGGAUAAGCGUGAUCUGUGAGAAACGGGAGGGAUUAUAUGAGGAGAUGUGAACACAUGGAUCUCACUGCUCAUGGGCUGAGUGCCUGAUGAACUGUGCCAUCCAGGCCUUAGAGCGUGAGCCAGUGUAGGAAGUUGUGUAUCUAGCAAACUCCUAGACUGAGCUGGUAUGAGAACUGUAUGACAUCAGGCUUUCCUUGAAAUCCCCACAUUGUAGGGUAACUGUGGCUCAUAAGGCCAUUACAGGAUUGAAUUUUACAAAGUUCUUUUGAAGCCACCAACACGUGUGAUAUACUCACCCUGUAAAACCCAAAGCAGGGACGAGAAUAAUCAAAAUGCUAGAACAUUGUCUCCAUGAUUCCAGCUUGGCCUAGGACUUUAUGCUAUUGGGGAGCCGAGGCGAUAUUGGUCCCACUCAGUACUCUGAUGGUAUGUAGAAAAAAUCUACCUGGAGUAUGUGUAACAGAGACUGAGAAAUCAUGGGGUCUAGACACUCACCUGGCUCGGUGCUCUGAAAUCAUACUGAGCUUUUUUAUGGCAGUUGUUGUCAAACAGUGGGAAACAACCCUCCCAAUGACAAUCUUCAGCAAAGACAUGUCUGUGACAAUUCAUAGCACCAACAAAAUUGCAGUUAGGAUAUGUCUGUUAUGAUUCAUACCAUCUGCAAAAUUUCACUACGGCCUUUCCAAUGAAAAUAGUUUUACGGCUGGUGGUCACCAGAACAUGAGAAACUUUGCUAAGGGGUCGCAACAGAAGGAGGGUUGAAACCCACUGUCUUUGGUUCUUUAUGAAUUUGGUGGAUUACAGACUUGAACGCUUUCUAUGAAUAAAAGUGUAAGCCUGAUGCCUUCAUCAAGGUAUCUGUCCUGGGAGAGUGGGGACUACGGUGGUGGUUGAAUAUCUUUGUCUCUCAGGAAGUUUUGGUGUUGCACAGACUUCUGGACCAUGGACAGGCAUCCCUAGAGGAUGUGGAUGCUAUGGGUGAGGGCAAAUCUUCAGACAACCUCUGAGGAUUGUCUGACUGUGAAACAAAGGAAACCAGCUGAUUCUAAAUGGUCAAAUUUAGUGACAGUGGGGUCAUAAAUGCCUAAAUACAGUGGUCUGUUUCAAAAUUAAACUGUGCAACACCAGUGGACCACCUAGUGCCGGAUGCGUAUGUGGGGGGUGAAAAUGUGUCUGUGCCUGUUUGGGGUUCAGGGAGGAGUUUUCAGUACCCACAUAGCCUGCUGAGGUGAGAAUGCAUGAGCAUGAGAGGAACCAGGUUUAAAACUGUCCUGGCUGAAUAUAUGUUAUGAAACUAAGGAAAGGCCCUGCGCUGUUCUCUUUUCUGCAAACAUAAGUUCUGCUCUCAUUUUAUUUGACUGGCAUACAGAAGCUUGGUCCUCAGCUCCGUGUUGUGUUGUGUUCAGGGGAAGUCAUGUUUGUUAAUGGAAAUCUCCCAUUGCUGGAAUAGUGAACAUGGUGUGCAUAGCCAUCUGGACUGGACGAAUGGGAUCAUGUCCAGUGAAGGCAGUUCUGGGAUACUCACCUUGCUGGAAUGGAUUCAGGGCCUGGGUGAUCUGUGAGACCCUGAACGAUGCGAUUAUAUGUGGAAAUGUGGUCACAUGGAUCUCACUGCUCAUAGCCUGAAUGUCUGGUGAACUGUGUCAGCUAGGCCUAAGAGCGUGAGCCAUUGUAGGAAGUUAUGUGUCCAGAAACCUCCAAGGCUGAGCUGGAAUAUAUCUGUGUGAAUCUGCCUUUCCUUAAAAUCCCCACAUUGUUCAUUGACUGUGGCUCAUAAGGCCGUUACAGACAGGAUUUUUUAUAGUCCUUUUGAAGCCAUAAACAUGUGUGGUAUACUCACCCUGUAACAAAGCCAAUGCGGGGAUGAGAAUCCUCCAAAUGCUGGAAUAUAGACUACAAGAUUCCAGCUUGGCCUAGGAGUUAGUCUAGUGGAGGACUCGAGGAGAUAUUGUUCCCUCUCAGGACUCUGAUGUAAUGUAGAAAAAUCUACAUGGAGUAUGUGUAAAAGAGACUGAGAAAUCAUGGGGUCUGGACACUCACCUGGCUCGGUGCUGUGAAAUCCUACAGAGCCCUUUUAAGGCAGUUGUUUUCAAACAGUGGGAUGCAACCAUCCCAAAGACCAUUUGAAGCAACGUUAUGUCUGUGACAAUUCACAGCACCAGAAAAAAAUCAGUUAGCAUAUUUCUGUUCAGAUUCACAACAACCACAAAUUGUAGUUAGUAUGUCUCAAUGAAAAUAAUUUUUUGAGUUUUGAUCACCAGAACAUGAGAAACUUUGCUAAAGGGUUGCAGCAUGAGGAGGGUUAGAAGGUAUUGUCUUUGCUUCGUUAUGAAGUAUGUGGUAUAAAGGCUGGAAUGCUCUGCAUGAAUAGAAAUUGUAUGUGAAAUGCCUUCAUCAUGGUCUCUGUCCUGAGAAAGUGGGGACAACAGUGGUGGUCUCUCAAGAGGCUUUGGUCUUGUACAUUCUUCUGUGCCAUAGGUGGGCAUCCCUAGAGGAUGUGGAUUCCUUGCUUGAGGGCAAAGCUUCUGAAAAUAUCUGAGGAUGGCUUAAUGUGAACCAUAGGAUCCUAGGUAAUUCUAUAUGAUUAAAAUUUGGGGGUGAGAAGCAGAAUGUCCCAUUAACUGGUCAGGUUCAAAAAUUGUGCAACACUUUUGGGCCACCUAGUGAUGGACAGAGAAAUGGAGGAUGAAAAUGUGUUUGUGCCUGUUUUGGGAUGGGGGAGGUAUUGUGGGUCCUCACAGAGCAUGCUGAGGGGAGAAUGCAUGAACAUGAUAGGAACCAGGUUCAAAUCUGGCUUGGCUGAUGCACAUGUUGUGAGACCAAGGAAAGACCCUGCCCUAUGCUGGUGGCCUGCAUUCAUAUGUCCUGGUCCCAUGAUACUGGACUGGCCUACAGAACCUGGUUCCUCAGCCCUGCUUUGUGUUGUGUUCAGGGGAAGCCAUGUUAGUUACUGGAAAUCUCCACUUGUUGGUCUAGUGUACAAGGUGUGCAUGGCUAUCUAGACUGGGAGAAUGGAAACAUGGCCUGUGAAGGCAGUUCUGAGAUGAAGUGGAUCUCAGGAUAAGCAUGAUCUGUGAGAACUGGGACGAUGGGAUUAUAUGAGGAGAUGCGGACACAUAGAUCUCACUGCUCAUAGCCUGAGUGCCUGAUGAACUGUGCCAUCCAGGCCUAAGAGCGUGAGCCAGUGUAGGAAGUUGUGUUUCCAGAAAACUCCUAGGCUGAACUGGUAUGAAAUUUGUGCAAUACCAGCUUUUCUUUAAAGUCUCACAUUGAAGGUGGACUGUGGCACAUAAGGCAGUUACAGGACAUAAAUUUGCAUAGUCCUUUUGAAGCCAUCAACAUGUGUGGUAUACUCAUCCUAUAACAAAACCAAAGAAGGGAUGAGAAUCCUCAAAAUGCUGGCAGUUAAAUUCCAAUAUUCCAGCUUGACUUAGGAGUUUACGGUAGUGGGUGAGUCAUGAGGAUAUUGGUCCCUCUCAGGACUCUGCUUGUAUGCAGAAUACAUGUACAUGGUGUUUGUGUAACAGAGACUGAGAAAUCAUGGGACCUGGACACUCACCUGGCUAGGUGCUGUGAAAUCCCACAAAGCCCUUUUAUGGCAGUUGUUGUCAAACAGUGGGAAUCAACCCUCCCAAAGACCAUCUGCAGCAAAGACAUGUCUGUGACAAUUCAUAGCACCAACAAAAUUGCAGUUAAGAUAUGUCUGUUAUGAUUUAUAGCAUCAGCAAAAUUGCGUUAAGGACUUUCCAAUGAAAAUAGUUUUAUGGCUGGUGGUCACCAGAACAUGAGAAACUUUGCUAAAGGGUCGCAACAGAAGGGUUUAAACCCACUGUCUUUGGUUCUUUAUGAAGUAGGUGGAUUACAGAUUGGAACACUUUCUAUGAAUAAAAGUGUAAGCCCGAUGCCUUCAUCAAGGUCUCUGUCCUAGGAGAGUGGGGACUACGGUGGUGGUUGAAUAUCUUUGUCACUCAGGAGGUUUUGGUGUUGCACAGACUUCUGUAUCAUAGUCAGGCAUGCCUAGAGGAUGUGGAUGCUAUGGGUGAGGGCAAAUCUUCAGACAACCUCUGAGGAUUGUCUGACUGUGAAACAAAAGAAACCAGCUGAUUCUAAAUGGUCAAAUUUAGUGACAGUGGGGCCAUAAAUGCCUAAAUACAGUGGUCUGUUUCAAAAUUAAACUGUGCAACACCAGUGAACCACCUAGUGCCGGAUGGGUAUGUAGGGGGUGAAAAUGUGUCUGUGCCUGUUUGGGGAUCAGGGAGGAGUUGUGGGUCCCCACACAGCCUGCUGAGGGGAGAAUGAAUGAGCAUGUGUGGAACCAGGUUCAAAUCUGGCUUGGUUGAUGCACAUGUUGUGAGACCAGAAAAGGCCAUUUCCUGUGCUGGUGGCCUGCAAUUAUAUGUCCUGGUCUCAUCAUAUUGGACUGGCCUAUAGAACCUGAGUCCUCAGCUCUUCUUUGUGUUGUGUUCAGGGGAAGUGAUUUUUGUGACUAGAGCUCUCUUCUUGCUGGUCUAGUGCACAUGGUGUGCAUAGCCAUCUAGACUUGGGAGAAUGGAAACAUGGCCUGUGAAGGCAGUUCUGGGAUCCUCACUUUGAUGAAGUGGAUCUCAGGAUAAGUGAGAUCUGUGAGACCUGGAACUAGGGAUUAUAUGAGGAGAUUUGGACACCUGGAUCUCACUGCUCAUAGCCCGAGUGCCUGGUAAACUGUGCCAACCAGGCCUAAGAGUGUGAGCCAGUGUAGGAAGUUGUAUAUCUAGAAAACUUCUAGGCUGAGCUGGUAUGAGGACUGUGUGACACCAGCCAUUCCUUGAAAUCCCCACAUUGUAGGUUACUGUGGCUCAUAAGGCCAUUACAGGACAGGCUUUUUCAUAGUCCUUUUGAAGCCAUCAACACGUGUGAUAUACUCACCCUGUAACCAAACCAAAGCAGGGACAAGAAUCCUUGAAAUGCUGCUAUAUAGACUACAAGAUUCCAGCUUGGCCUAGGAGUUUAGGCUAGUGGCAGACUGAGAGGAUAAUGGACAAUCUCAGGACUCUGCUGGUGUGCAGAAUACAUGUACAUGGUGUAUCUGUAACUGAGACGGAGAAAUCAUGGGAUCUGGACACGUACCUGACUCAGUGCUGUGAAAUCCUACAGAGCCCUUUUAUGGCAGUUGUUGUCAAACAGUGGGAAUCAACCCUCCCAAAAACCAUCUGCAGCAAAGACAUGUCUGUGACAAUUCAUAGCACCAACAAAAUUGCAGUAAGGAUAUGUCUGUUAUGAUUCAUAGCAAUUGCAAAAUUGCGGUAAGGACUUUCCAAUGAAAAUAGUUUUAUGGCUGGUGGUCAUCAGAACAUGAGAAACUUUGCUAAAGGGUCACAGCAUGAGGAGGGUUGAAACCUACUGUCUUUAGUUCUUUAUGAAGUAGGUGGAUUACAGACUGGAACGCUUUCUAUGAAUAAAAGUGUAAGCCCAAUGUCCUCAUCAAUGUCUCUCUCCUGGGAGAGGGCGGACAACGGUGGUGGUUGAAUAUCUUGGUCACUCAGGAGGUUUUGGUGUUGCACAGACUUCUGUAUCAUAGUCAGGCAUGCCUAGAGGAUGUGGAUGCUAUGGGUGAGAGCAAAUCUUCAGAGAACCUCUGAGGAUUGUCUGACUGUGAAACAAAGGAAACCAGCUGAUUCUAAAUGGUCAAAUUUAGUGACAGUGGGGCCAUAAAUGCCUAAAUACAGUGGUCUGUUUCAAAAUUAAACUGUGCAACACCAGUGGACCUCCUAGAGCAGAAUGGGUCUUUGGAGGAUGAAAAUGUGUCUCUGCCUCUUUUGGGAUGAGGGAGGCAUUGUGGGUCCCCACACAGUCUGUUGUGGGGAGAAUGCAUGAACAUGAGAGGAACCAGGUUCAAAUCUUGCUUGGCUGAUGCACAUGUUGUGAGACCAAGGAAAGGCCCUGCCCUGUGCUGUUGGCCUGUAAUCAUAUGUCCUGGUCUCAUCACAUUGGACAUGCCUACAGAACCUGGGUCCUCAGCUCUGUUUUGUGUGUUAUUCAGGGGAAGCCAUGUUUGUAACCAGAGCUCUUCCCUUGCUCGUCUAGUUCACAUGUUGUGCGUAGCCAUCCUGACUGGGAGAAUGGGAACAAGGCCUUUGAUGGCAGUUUGGCAUCCUCAAUUUGAUGGAAUAGAUCACAGGAUAUUGGAAAUCUGUGUAACCUGGGCUUAUUGCACUGUGAGAAGGUGUGGGCAUGUGGCACUCACUCUCAUGGUUAGAAUGAGCAAAAGUCAUUUUUGUAGGCAAAAAUGAAUAGAGUACAGUUCAGCUACGUAUAAGUGUGUGAGCCAAUGUGAGAGGAUCCAUUAGUAUAAGACUCCAUGGCUAAGCUGGCAUGCAGUCUAUAUGACAGCGGUACAUUCUAGAAACUUCUAUAAAUUAGGGUGGCUGUGACAUUUUUGACCAUCACCCUGACAGUAUUUUGCACAGUUCUUUGGUUCCACAUACAUUUGGGUAAUGGUCCCAUUCUAAGAAUUCAGGACCGUAGGUGAGAUUCCAUGAGAUGUAUCCAUGCAGACUCAAAUAUUCCAGCUUGAACCCGGAGUUUAAGGUAGUGGGAUAAUAACCGGCUUAUUGAUUCCUCUCUAGACUGUGCUGGUGUUCAGACUACAUCAACUUAGUAUCAAAGUAACUGAUUGCCUAAUCAUGGGAUCUGUACAUUCACCUGGCUUGGUGCUAUGAAAUCCUAUAGAGACCUUUUCUUAGGGCAGUUAUACUCAACCUGUGGGAAGCCACUCUCCCAAAGACCAUCUGAAGCAAUGCAAUUUAUAUGACAAUUCAUAACACCAGCAAAACUGAUGUUAGGACGAUCCAGUUAAAAUGAUUUUACUGUCUGUGUUCACCAGAACAUGAGAAAUUUUGCUAAAUGGUCUCAACAUGAGGAGGAUUAAAACCCACUAGAUUGUACAUAGGUUAGGACCUGGGUUACUCUCCAUGAAUGGAAAGUGUAAGGUCUAUGCCCACAGCAAGGUCUCUGUCCUAGUGAAUGAGGUCAAUAGUGGUGGACAGUUAUUUGGGUCACACAGGAGGCUUUGGUGUUGCACAGGUUCCUGGACCAUAGACAGGCAUCCCGAGAGGAUGUAGAUGACAUGGCUAAGGUUAAAGCUUCAGACAAUGAUUGAGGCCUGUCUGACUUGAAACCAAAGGAUCCCAGCUUAUUUCAAAUGAUUCAAAUCUGAGAAAGGUGAGGACCAAAAUGCCCCAACUCAAUGGUAAGGUUCAAAACUGCAACACCAGCUGAGCCACCUAGUGAAGGAUGCAUACAUGGAGGAUGAAAAUGUGUCUGGGUUUUGGUAUGGGGGAGAAUUGUGGGUCCCCACACAGCUUGCUGAGGGGAGAAUGCAUGAGCAUGAGAGGAACCAGGUUUAAAACUGGCCUGCAUGAGCACAUGAUGUGAGACCAGAGAAAGGCUCUGCCCUGUGCUGGUGGCCUGCAAACAUUAUAUUGGACUGGCCUACAGAACCUGGGUCCUCAUCUCUGCUUUGUGUUGUGUUCAGAGGAAGCCAUGUUUGUUACUGGAACUCUCCCCUUGAUGGUCUAGGGCACACGGUGUGCAUAGCCAUCUAGACUGGGAGAAUGGGAACAUGGCCUGUGAAGUCAGCUCUGGGAUCCUCACUUUGCUGGAAUGGAUCUCAGGAUAAGGGUGAUCUGUGAGAACUGGGAGUAGGGGAUUAUAUGAGGAGCUAUGCACACACAGAUUUCACUGCUCAGAGCCUGAAUGCCUGGUGAACUGUGCCAUCUAGGCCUAAGAGCAUGAGCCAGUGUAGGAAGUUAUGUAUCCAGAAAAUUCCAAGGCUGAGCUGGAAUGAAGUCUAUAUGACACCAGCCUUUCCUUGAAGUCCCCACAUUGAAUGUUGACUGUGGCACAUAAGGCCAUUACAGGAUAAGAGUUUGCAUAGUCAUUUUGAAACCACAAACAUGUGUGGUAACGUCACACUGUAACAAAGCCAAAGCAGGGAUGAGAAUCCUCGAAAUGCUGGCAGUUAGACUCCAAGAUUUCAGCUUGGCCUAGGAGUUUACGCUAGUGGCAGAGUCGAGGGGAUAUUGGUCCCUCUCAGACCUCUUCUGGUGUGCAGAAUACAUGUACAUGGAGUAUGUUUAACAGAGACUGAGAAAUCAUGGGAUCUGUACACUCACCUGGCUCGCUGCUGUGAAAUCCUACAGAGCCCUUUUUAUGACAAUUUCUGUCAACCAGUGGGAAGCUACCCUCCCAAAGACCAUCUGAAGUAAAGAUAUGUCUGGUAUGAAUCAUAGCACCAGCAAAAUUUCAGUUAGGAUAUGUCUGUUAUGAUUCAUAACAACUGCAAAAUUGUAGUUAGGAUGUUUCAAUGAAAGUUAUUUUACAGUUGGUGGUCACCAGAACAUGAGAAACUUUGCCAAAGGGUUGUAGCAUGAGGAGGGUUGAAAGCCACUGUCUUUAGUUCUUUAUGAAGUAGGUGGUUUACAGGCUGGAACGCUCUCUAUGAAUUGAAAGUGUAAGGCCUAUGCCCUCCUCAAGUUCUCUGUCCUGGGAGAGUGGGGAUAAUGAUGGUGGUUGAAUUUCUUGGUCAAUCCCGAAGCAUUGGUGUGCACAAACUUCUGGACCACACACGAGCAUCCCUAGAGGAUGUGGAUUUUAUGGGUGAAGGCAAAGCUUCAAACAAACUCUGACGUUGGUCUUACUGGGAUCCAAAGGAUCCCAGGUGAUAUAUGAUUAAAAUUUGGGGAUGAGAGCCAAAAUGCCCCCAACUAAGUGGUCAGGUUCAAAAAAUUGUGCAACAUCCUUGGGGUACCUCAUGAUGGACAGGGAAAUGGGAGAUGAAAAUGUGUCUGGGAGGAGUUGUGGGUCCCCACACAGACUGCUGAGGGGAAAAUGCAUGAGCAUGAGAGGAACCAGGUUUAAAGCUGGCUUGGCUGAUACACAUGUUGUGAGACCAAGGAAAGGUCCUGCCCUGUGCUAGUGGCCUGCAAUCAUGUGUCCUGGUCUCAUCAUACUGGACUGGCCUACAGAAUCUGGGUCCUCAGCUCUGCUUUGUGUUGUGUUCAGAGGAAGCCAUGUUUGUGACUAGAGCUUUCCACUUGUUGGUCUAGUGCACAAGGUGUGCAUGGCUAUCUAGACUGGGAGAAUGGGAACAUGACCUGUGAAGGCAGUUCUGGGAUCUUCACCUUGCUGGAAUGGAUUGCACAAUAUGGGCCAUCACUGACAUCUGGGCCCAUGGCACAUUGAUUAGCUGUGGACAUGUGGCCCUCACUGCUUAUGGCCUGAAUGUCUAGAGCAUAGCUCCAUAUAGAUUUAAGGGUGUGAGCCAGUGUGGGAGGAUCCAUUACUAGAAAACUCUAUGGUUGAGCUGGGAUGCAAUCUGUAUGACAACAGCACUUGCUAGAAAUCCCUAUACAGUAAGUAGGGUGACUGUGGCAUAUUUGACAGUCACCCAGACAGGAUUUUGCACAGUUUUUUUGGUUCCACAAACAUGUGGGCUAAGGUCACAUUCUAAGAAGUUUAGACCGUGGGCAAGAAUCCACAAGAUGCAGCCAUGCAGACUUCAAUAUUCAAGCUUGGCCUAGGAGUUUAAGGUAGUCAGGGAGACACUGGCUUAUUGGUCCCUCUCUUUACUAUGUUGGUGUGCAAACUACAUCAGCUUGGUGUCAAAGAGAAUGAUUGAGAAAUCAUGGGAUCUUGACCCUCACAUGGCUAGGUGCUCUGAAAUCCUACAGAGACGUUUUCUUAGGGAUAUGUUCUCAACUUAUGGGAAGCGACCCUCCUAAUGACCAUCUGAAGCAAUGCAAUGACUAUUUACAUGACAAUUCAUAACAGCAGCAAAACUGCAGUUAGGAUGUACCAAUGGAAAUCAUUUUACUCUCUGUGUUCACCAGAACACGAGAAAUUUUGCUAAAGGGUAGCAGCAUGAGGAGUGUUGAAACCCACUGUUUUAUGGUCUUCAUAUAGUUGAUAGGUUAGGGUCUGGGUCGUUUUCCGUGAAUGGAAAGUGUAAGGCCUAUUCCCACAGCAAGGUCUCUGUCCUGGGAUAGUCAGGUCAAUGCAGGUGAUGGUUAUUUGGGUCACAAAGGAGGCUUUGGUGUUGCACAGGUUCCUGGACCAUAGACAGGUAUCCUGAGAGGAUAUGGAUAAAAUGACUAAGGUUAAAGCUUCAGACAAUGAUUGAGGCCUGUCUGACUGGGAACCAAAGGAUCCCAGCUGAUUUUAAAUGAUUCAAAUUUGAGAAAAGUGAGGACCAAAAUACCCCAACUCAAUGGUAAGGUUCAAAAACUAUGCCAUACCAGCUGGGACACCUAGUGAGGAUGGGUACAUGGAGGAUGAAAAUUUGUCUGGGUUUUGGGAUGGAGGAGGAAUUGUGGGUCUCAACACAGCCUACUGAGGGGAAAAUUCAUGAGCAUGUGAGGAACCAGGUUUAAAGCUGGCUUGGCUGAUGCACAUGUUGUGACACCAAGGAAAGGCCCUGCCCUGUGCUGGUGGCCUGCAAUCAUAUGUCCUGGUCUCAUCAUACUGGACUGGCCUACAGAACCUGGUUCCUCAGCUCUGCUUUGUGUUGUGUUCAGGGAAAGCCAUGUAUGUGACUAGAGCUCUCCCCUUGCUGGUCUAGUGCCCAUGGUGUGCAUAGCCAUCUAGACUGGGAGAAUGGGAACAUGGCCUAUGAAGGCAGUUCUAGGAUCCUCACUUUGCUGGAAUGGAUCACAGGAUUUUGGGGAUCUGUGAGAGGUGGGCCUAUGGCACUGUGAGAAGCUGUGGACAUGUGGCACUCACUGCUCAUGGCUUAAAUGAGCAAAAUUCAUUUUGUGAACAAAAAUGGAAAUGAUUUUACUGUCUGUGUUCACUAGAACACGAGAAAUUUUGCUAAAUGGUCUCAGCAUGAGGAGGGUUAAAACCUACUCUAUUAUGGUCAUCAGACAGUAUGUAGGUCAGGGCCUGAAUUACUCUCCAUGAAUGGAAAGUGUAAGACCUAUGCCCACAGCAAGGUCUCUGUCCUAGUGAAUGAGGUCAAUGAUGGUGGAUGGUUAUUUGUUGGAAAGCAAGAUGCUGGAUCAGUCUCAUUGAUUGUCUAGUGUGCAGAGUGCAAGAUACCAGCUAAUCAUAGGCAUAUAAAGAUUGGUCAGUUUUGUAGGAGUCUCUCAGUCUGCUGUGGUAGUGUGCUGAUUGCUGUUUUCUAUGCCUGGGAAUAUGAAGGGCAGGGUCAUGCUGUGUUCAGGAGCACUUACCUGGCUCAUUUGGUUGACAAGCUAUGAGAACCAGAAUAGACCUGGGACUUUUAGGCCAAACAGGUGGGUGAACAUCUGGAUCACUCUUCAGGUUAGGCAGAUGCCAGAUACAUGGCCAUGCUGAGGUUAGUGUAUAUGGCUAAUUGUGGUAGCUGAUUAUUUGGGGUCCAUCACCAGGUCUUUUUUGUUGGUUAGCAUUUGCUUGGUUCCUGUGAAAUUAUUUUUCCAGUAUCUGCCAGACAGUUUCCUAGUUUUCUGUCUUAACACUCCUGUGUAGGAAUAGAAUUUUCUAGUUGUUCCUGCUUUGUAUGUUUUUCAACUAUAAAUUGUUGACCGAAGGAUAUCUUUCAUUUCCAUGUUUUUCCCUGCAUUGUCUGGUCUAACAAUGAAAGACACAUUUCAGCUGUGUGUCUUUGCUAUUACAAAGUUUCCUUGGACAUAAUGAUUACCUGUUUGGUGUUUAAUGGUUCCUCUGUCAUGUUUUUCAUAGGCAUUGCUGGUCUGAUCUCCAUGACCCCUUCAUCUCUUUUUUACCCUAUUUUUAAAGAAAAAGGUUUCCAUGUGAUGUUUUCCACAUUAAGAGCUGUAUUAAUCAUGAAAGAUAGUCUCUGCAUUUUACUAUUCCAGCUCUUUCUGCUUUGAUCAUUAAAAAAGUGUUCUGUAGCCAGCUUUUAUCUGCUCUGGCCAGGAAGUAAAUCUCUAAACUCAGCCACUUCCAAAGAGGUCACGUCAUGUAGGUUCCAAAGGAAGUUUACCAUUUCUGUAUCUUCACCAUCAUUAUUUAUUCUAGUCAGGAAGGAAUUAUUGUAUUUAUAUGUCUUCCUUGGCUGUAUUCAUUUUGGCUGCACAACAAUCUUCAAUAUUUAUGUCUUCUCAAGUUAUAGCUGACUUCAAAUAAUAAUAUCUACUCCAUAUUCUUGUCUUUCCCAGAUAUAUUUUUCUGAUACCUAUGGAAAUCUUCAAUAUCCACAUCUUUCAAUGCCAUAUUUUUUGAAUGUUCCCUUACCACAGCAAUAACUAUUUGGUGAUGAAAAGCAGCUACCAUUUUCCUAUCUGCACCAUGAAAUAUAUUCUGCAUGUUAUAUUUUCUACCAUAGAUAGUAUUGUUAGGAAAUAAGCCUUCUAUCUCAUGUCUUUACUAACCACAGCUCCUUGGUGCAUUUUUCAUAUCAAUUUAUUACUCAAAAUGAGUAUCCAUAAGAGAUAGAAUCCAAUCCUCAGUCUUGUAUAAUCAUUAAAAAUUCUAGUUGCAAAAAGAACAUGACUUGUUCACUCAUACGGGUUUUAAAAAUUAUGUUAUAAUUUUCCAUGCCUAUAUGUUUCUAACUCACAACUACUCUGGCAAUAAAGUGCAUUCUCUGCAGUCACAUCCUCCCUGUUGCUGCUUUAGUACUGGAAUAAGUCAUCUAUCACUAUGUCUUUCCCUAGAUAUAGAUGCUGUUGACAAGAAAGUGAUGCUCAACUUCUAUGUUGUGUCAUUCAGUGCAGGGCUGUAGCUGUGAAAUGCCUUCCAAAUCUAUUUCAUCAUGAGCUAAAGUUGAUUGGUAAAACAAGAAGUUUUCCAUUACCAUAUCUUCCCAGUUUAUAUCCACUCUCCUUAAGGAAUUUUUCCUGCUUCUCCUCUUCCAUAGGCUCAACAAAGUUGGUGAGAAAAAAGUUUCCGUCUCUGGCCAAGAAAUAAGUUCUUCAUUUUCAUGCUUUUCUCAUGUGCAUCUACUUUGAUAAUGUAAAAAGCCAUUCCUUGCUCGUGCCUUUCAAAGGCUCUCUGCUCUGGUUAUGAGCUUGACCUUUGAAUGCUGUAUGCUAUAGUUCCUUCCAUAAAAAAACCAUAUACCUUUUUGUAUCCCCAAAACUACAGCUGUCUUUGUUACAGAAUUGGUUUUUUUCCCCUGUUAUCAUAGCUUUUCAAAUCAUGGCAGCUUUGAUCAUGAGAGCAGACUUCCCACAGAACAGUCCUUGCUGUUUACGAUUUAGGAAAACUUCUUACUCCGUUCCUGUUCAGUCAUAUUUAUUUUUGUCACAUUCUAGUUUUGGUUUCCUCAGUUUCUGCAUCCAUAGCUACUUUGUCAAGUAAACAAUGAUUUUAAAUCUAGGAUUUCUCCUGUUAAAUUUGCUGUCAGUGUGUCUGUUUUGGUGACCACAGAAAGUUUUCUCUUCCCUCUCUGGCCAUUUAUGCUCUGAUCACUGAAGAUUUUUUGAUUGUGUAUCUUAUAUGACCAUAGCAGCUCUUUGUGUGUUUGUACUGAGAUAUUAUCUCAUCAGUCAGGGUGGUCUUGAACUCACUAUCCUACUACAGUGCUAGCUAGCAGCUCUUUGAUACAUGUAUCUGAGCUUUAUGACAUUCACAUAAUAAAUAAAUCUCUACAGCAAGAUGAAUUAAUAGAUAUAUUAUCUUGCAUAUCUGCUUUUUUGUGAUGAAAGCAGCUAAAAUCCACUUAUUUCAUAAAAAACUAAAUACAAUAUGGUCUUAUUAACUCUAGUACUUAUGCUGCCAUACAUAAAGUCUCUGUACUUGCUCCUCCUACACAUCUUCUACCUCAGGAUUCAAUUAGAACAGUUCUCACCACUUCAGUACAGUGAAGGUUUCCUUGUAGUGAAAGUGCAAUUCUAUCCUGCUGCUUCCCACUUUUCUAGCUUCACCCAUGGCUUGAGAGAAUAUAGAGAAACAUAAAGAAUACACUAAUUGGAACAAAGUUCUAGGCAAGGACAGCCAAGUAGAUGAACCCACUUUGUUCUCUUCUGUGGGGUUUUGCAUUUCUACCUAUGCCUAUUUAUAUGUAUGUAUCCCCUUUUCAUGCUGUAUGUUUUGGCUUUUUACUCUGUAUCCUGACUGUAUUCAAGCCGAGAAGAGGACUGCAACUGUAGCAUGGAGAACAUAUUGUAAUUAUGGUAAGACAAUGGCCAAUUCAGGAACUAUUCUCUAAAAGGUGAAGAGAUUGCAGAAACAAUCAUCAAACCCCCCUUAAAAUAUCAGGAAUUCAUUAGAGUACAGUGAGGCUUUCUGGCGGCAAAGCCAAUGACUGCCUAGGAUAAAGGAUCUGGGGAUGUCUGUCUGUCUCAACCCAGCCCCCUCAUCAGACCAAACCUACCAAGAAAACUGAGGCUUAUACCUCGUAAAAAGUCACCUGUGGCUGAAAUACUCUUUUCAUAUGAAUACUAUGAGUGCUCACCUUGGUGGUAUACUCCUGUCAUCUUAGCACUAAAAAGACCAAAGCAAUAGGACUACAGCCCAGUGUGGGUUGCAUGAUAAGAAUCUGUCUAAAAAUGACUAAUAUGUAUUACUUUUACUCAUACUUGCUCUUUUUUCUUUAAAAUAUCCCUGGAUCUCUGAACUCCACUUCACUCAACAUUAUGUCGUCUUAUACUCUGAGAAACAUCUUGGGACAUUUGUACCUGGAUUUCCUUCAGGCUUGAUGUUUGGUAUUCCUUAUAGACCUCCACACCAUAAUUACAGGUGAUUUUAACCAGAAAUGCCGCCCAUUAGCUCUGUCAAGAGGAACAAUAUUCAACAUGCCACCACACUGGAAAAACUUGCCUAGGAUCUGGCAACAAGCUGAAGUCCCAAGACCAUCUGGACAUCAAGAGUCAUUUCUUCAUAUUUCCAUAAAUGCUAGUUUGGUUGUGCUUGUAAUCCAUGCUACUUGGGAGACUUGAGUCAAAGAAACAAGUUGACCAUCCUGAACAACACAGUAUAACCUUUUCUCAAAUCAAAACCAACCAAACUCCAGAAAAGAUAUUCAUAAACUUUCUAGUGAGCUUGCUGAGGAAAAGGAUUGUAUUGCUAAAUGUUAAGGGAUAAUGCCAUUAAUAUUUUAUGUUAAUGGUAUUUUAUUUUUUAAGCCAUCAAAAUACUCAUUCUUAAUAACACGCAUUCUUGAGUGAACUUUCGUAAUGGGUGAAAUACUUAUAUGUAUGUGCGUGAUGAGAUAAUAUUUGUGCCAUUUUAGACUGAUAUUGUUAUUUGUAGUAUACUGAUGGUUCAGUGUAUAUCUUUUCCGUUAAGUUAUGUAAGAUUGGUGGAUUAGAAUUUACAAAUAAAAUAGUGGAUUAAACACUAUAUCUGAGCCAGUGAGUAAAAAAAAAUGUUAUGGUAAAAGCAUAAUAAAUCCUAUUUAUGUACAAGAAAGACUAAAAAACUAAAAAGGCAAAGUCUAAACUUCUCUACAAUGAAGGAGCCAGGUCCAGCAGAAAUCAGUUGUGGUACUACUCCUACUAACUGUAGCUGCCAGCCAUGUAUUCUCACCAUGAAAGUGCAGGAGAGAAGGCCUGGGCUGUGUAAACUCAACUGAAUGGGUAAAAAUCCCUUAUAUAAAACAGGCUGUGAGUAGUGGAAAUGUGGUUUGACAACCUAAAGAUCACUACACAUUAAUAGAAGGAACAAUUUGUCAAGGAUAUUAGAAUGUUAUCAAUUUUUUGCACCAAAUAUUAGAUCCAGUCAGUGAGAAAUUUCAAUACUCUUAUCUUUAGACACAUUUCAAACUAAAAAUCUACAAAGAAAUGGCGUGAGUAAAUAACACCAUAGAGCAGUCGCAUUUUACAGAUACUUACAAAGUAUUCCAUCCAACUAAUAGAAACUACGCAUUAAUCUCAGCAGCACAGGGGCCUUUAUCUAAAACUAUUCAGGAACAAAGCAAAGAUCGAAUUGCUUACAUUUUAUCAGAUAAUGGUAUAAUAAAAGAAGUUACAAAAAUAUUUGGUACUGAACAAUAUAUUUCUGAAUUCACAGUAGACUCUAAUAAAAUCCAGAGAGACUUUAGGGGAUACUUUAUUACCUUACAUUUUUAAAAAGCUAGAAAAUUGGGACUGGAGAUGUAGAUCUAUGGUAGACUGCUUGUUUGGCAUGUUCAAAACCCUAAAUUUGAUUCCUAGCACUGUUAAAAAAAUGUUAGAAAACUUAAAAGAAAUGGAUAUAUUCCUGAACCCAUGUGACCUGCCAACAUGAAUUCAAGGAAAUACGAACAACUUCAAGAAAUGCAAAAUAAGCAAUGAUUUUGUAGUCUUUCCACAUAGAAAGUCAGGCGAUGCUGGGUGGUACUGGUGCAUGUCUUUAAUCCCAGCACUUGAGAGGCAGAGACAGGAGGAGUUCUAUGAGUUCAAGGCCAGUCCCUGGUCUACACAGCAAGUUUCAGGACAGGCUCCAAAAGCUACAGAGAAAACCUGUCUUGAAAGACUAAAAGAAAAAGAAAAAAAGAAAGAGAGAGAGAAAGAAAAGAAAAGAAAAGAAAAGAAAAGAAAAAGAGGAAAGGAAAGACAGGGCUGAAUGGAUUCACUAUUGAAUUCUAAUAAAUCUUUAAGGAAGUCUAGCAUCAGUACUUCUUAAACAAUCUCAUAAAAAGAAGUGGAGGGGACACCAUUAAACUUAUCUAAGAAAUUCCAUGUUCCCAUAAUGUGAAUACUGUUAACAUUAUUGUUAUUCAUUUUAAAGCAUCAAAGAUGUUUUAUACAUACGUUAAAUUCAUCACUGACCCUAAAAAUGAAGUGACUGGAAAAAAAUGGAUUAAACAUCAAACUUCA